rnacentral:lncRNA from 1 species
GAGAAAACUGUAGCCUGACUGGAAGCAAAGCAAGAGACUACAUAUGAGUCCCUUGAUUCUCCACAUCUUUCAUGCUAGCAAGACCCAGGAAGCUUUAAUAUUUCAGCUGCUCUGCCUCCAGUGGCUGGUCUGUUUGAAGGCUGCGGGGAAGCUGCUGGACUUGAGGAUAUGAUGAAAUUUGGAGCAGUACAGUCCAUGCUGUCUACGCUAGCUAUUUCGAAUGACACAGCAAUAGUACAAGCAAGAAAAGGCUAGUAAGACUUUUCUGUACGAAGUUGCUACACC